rnacentral:rRNA from 1 species
UACGUAGGUGGCAAGCGUUGUCCGGAAUCACUGGGCGUAAAGCGCGCGCAGGCGGCGAUCUACGUCUGGGGUGAAAGCCCGGAGCUCAACUCCGGGACUGCCUUGGAUACGGGAUCGCUUGAGAAUUGGAGAGGUAAGGGGAAUUCCACGUGUAGCGGUGAAAUGCGUAGAUAUGUGGAGGAACACCUGUGGCGAAGGCGCCUUGCUGGCCAAUUUCUGACGCUGAGGCGCGAAAGCGUGGGGAGCAAACAGG